rnacentral:snoRNA from 1 species
GCACGACGUAUCUCCAGAAAAGCAGAAAUGUCUGCGCUUUGGUCGCAUUUUUAGCGUGCUAAAUAAAUGUAAAUAUUGUAUUUGCUGCUUACUAGCAUCGUUAGGCGACACGACUAUCCAUACUGUGGCCAUGGUUUUCAAAGCAGUACAAA